GAUGAACGCUGGCGGCGUGCUUAACACAUGCAAGUCGAACGGAAAGGCCUCUGCUUGCAGGGGUACUCGAGUGGCGAACGGGUGAGUAACACGUGGGUGAUCCGCCCUGCACUUCGGGAUAAGCCUGGGAAACUGGGUCUAAUACCGGAUAGGACAAUGGUUUGGAUGCUGUUGUGGAAAGUUUUUCGGUGUGGGAUGAGCUCGCGGCCUAUCAGCUUGUUGGUGGGGUAAUGGCCUACCAAGGCGUCGACGGGUAGCCGGCCUGAGAGGGUGUACGGCCACAUUGGGACUGAGAUACGGCCCAGACUCCUACGGGAGGCAGCAGUGGGGAAUAUUGCACAAUGGGCGCAAGCCUGAUGCAGCGACGCCGCGUGGGGGAUGACGGCCUUCGGGUUGUAAACUCCUUUCGCUAGGGACGAAGCGUUUUUGUGACGGUACCUGGAGAAGAAGCACCGGCUAACUACGUG
rnacentral:rRNA from 1 species